rnacentral:rRNA from 1 species
UACAGAGGUGGCAAGCGUUGUUCGGAAUUACUGGGCGUAAAGGGCGCGUAGGCGGUCUUGUAAGUCCUGUGUGAAAUCCCUCGGCUCAACUGAGGAACUGCACGGGAUACUGCGAGACUUGAGUUCGGGAGAGGGAAGCGGAAUUCCGGGUGUAGCGGUGAAAUGCGUAGAUAUCUGGAGGAACACCGGUGGCGAAGGCGGCAUCCUGGACCGGCAUUGACGCUGAGGCGCGAAAGCUAGGGGAGCAAACGGG